rnacentral:rRNA from 1 species
GACGAACGCUGGCGGCGUGCUUAACACAUGCAAGUCGAACGGAAAGGCCCUGCUUUUGUGGGGUGCUCGAGUGGCGAACGGGUGAGUAACACGUGAGUAACCUGCCCUUGACUUUGGGAUAACUUCAGGAAACUGGGGCUAAUACCGGAUAGGAGCUCCUGCUGCAUGGUGGGGGUUGGAAAGCUUCGGCGGAUGGGGAUGGACUCGCGGCUUACCAGCUUGUUGGUGGGGUAGUGGCUUACCAAGGCAUUGACGGGUAGCCGGCCUGAGAGGGUGACCGGCCACAUUGGGACUGAGAUACGGCCCAGACGCCUACGGGAGGCAGCAGUGGAGAAUAUUGCACAAUGGGCGGAAGCCUGAUGCAGCAACGCCGCGUGCGGGAUGACGGCCUUCGGGGUGUAAACCGCUUUCGCCUGUGACGAAGCGUGAGUGACGGUAAUGGGUAAAGAAGCACCGGCUAACUACGUG